GACGAACGCUGGCGGCGUGCCUAAUACAUGCAAGUCGAACGAGAGCGACCGGUGCUUGCACUGGUCAAUCUAGUGGCGAACGGGUGAGUAACACGUGGGUAACCUGCCCAUCAGAGGGGGAUAACAUUCGGAAACGGAUGCUAAAACCGCAUAGGUCUUCGAACCGCAUGGUUUGAAGAGGAAAAGAGGCGCAAGCUUCUGCUGAUGGAUGGACCCGCGGUGCAUUAGCUAGUUGGUGAGGUAACGGCUCACCAAGGCCGUGAUGCAUAGCCGACCUGAGAGGGUGAUCGGCCACAUUGGGACUGAGACACGGCCCAAACUCCUACGGGAGGCAGCAGUAGGGAAUCUUCCGCAAUGGACGAAAGUCUGACGGAGCAACGCCGCGUGAGUGAAGAAGGUUUUCGGAUCGUAAAACUCUGUUGUUAGAGAAGAAUAAGUGCUAGAGUAACUGUUAGCGACUUGACGGUAUCUAACCAGAAAGCCACGGCUAACUACGUG
rnacentral:rRNA from 1 species